rnacentral:tmRNA from 1 species
GGGGCUGACCGGUUUUGACAGCAAGAUGAGUGGUUAUGUAAGCAUGCCGAGCCUUGCGAUGACGCUCGGAAAUCUUGAUCGCGAACAACAAUUGGCGAAAACAAUUACGCUCUCGCUGCUUAAUCGAAGCAUAGUAGAUUCAAGCUUCAUUUCGUCACCAGGUGGCGGAACGAGACAUCCCGCAGGUGGAAAUUCCUGAUACCGGCCUGAGCACGGGGUGCUAAUCAAUUUUGGGAUAGUUCUGUGAGCGCUUCGAUCACAGAGCGAAAUUCAGAAGAUAAGAUGUGGUUUAGGAUGCCUGUUUCCUUGCCACAUUCGAAAACCAACAGCAGGAUAAGCAUGUAGAAAGCUUAGUUAUUCCUUGUUUGGACGAGGGUUCGAAUCCCUCCAGCUCCACAA